CUCAUUGCCACCCCCUCCGCGGCCCGAGGUUUGCGACCACAGUCUCCUCCUCCCCCGUCACCGCCGGCGGUACGCAGCCGGCUGGGUUCCCGCUCCGCGAGGGAAGGUCACAAUAGCUGCUCUAUCGGCGGAGGCGCCCGCCUCCCCCCUCUCGGGUCUCGGGAAGGCAGAGAAAGGACGGUGGGGGAGGGGAGCUCGGGCCGGCAAUGGCGCCCCAGGCCCAGGCAGCUCCUUCUCCCGCGGAGGACCUGCAGCGGGAAGAGGCACGUCUGCAGCGGAAGGACACCGCCACUCCAGACCGAGGCUUCUUCCCGGGAGCGGCGCGCGGGCUCCGUGGGGAGCUCACCACGGUCUCGAGGAGGCUGCUCGCUGGCCCCUAGCCGCCGCGCGCUGCUGGAUCGAGGGCGCCCGCAGCAGCGGACCUUCCGGGAGCAGCGGCGCCAUUGUGAGCGCGGCUUCCCACGGGCCCCGCGGCCGGGAAGCCGCACAAAGGCGGCAAGGCGUCCGACACCCGCAGGUGGGGAGGGGCCGGCCCAAGGGGAGGAAAUGGCUCUUUGGCUCUGGUCGUGGCCGGCUCUGCCUUUUUUUCGCCCCCCUACUUAGACCCAUUGGAGGGAGGUCUUAUCAGGGAGGUUGUGGGCGAUUCUCCUGGGACCUGAAGAAAGGGGUCAGGGCCCCAAGCCUAGGCCUAUGGAUGGGGGUGGAAGUCAUUUGGGAGCCCCCUAGUCUGUCUUGCCAAUCAAACCUGAAUUAAAGCAGGGUUGAGAUGAAGUGGCUGGAAUGACCAGCUGCAGAAUGAGAGCUGGGGGUGGGAAAAGAUUUAGGGACAGGGAGAGCCUGCCCUGGCUACCAAGGAGAAACUCAGUACCCAGCCUGCACUGGAGUGAGAAAACCCUACUGAGUUAGCCAGGGGGAUAGGGAAGUUGCAGAGGAAAGGUUGCAAGAAAGGGCGGUAACACACUCUACCUCCUGGCUUUCAGACCUCAGCCUUAUCUAAGGACCUCACAGAGAAAAACCCUUCUCAGAUGGAAUCAUUUGUUAACUAUCCGUUUGUACCAUUUCUUUGUACAGGCUUUCAAAUAAGAGGGAGAGAAUACAGAGCAAGUGCUUGCCCCUUGGUGCAACCUCAAGCCUAGUCCCUAUCAGAGACACAUCAGCCAAAUUGGUUUCCCAGGCCCCAGAGGCUGCUAACCUUGCUGAAAAGCAUUUUUUAAAUUUGUAUCUGUAAGGAGUAUUUUAAACAUGGUAAUUAACCAUACUAGUUACUCAUCCCUCUCCCUCCCCCAUUCUGUACCAGCCAACUGACCCUUGAGUGAAGUGGUCUUCUCAGCCAGCAGGCUUGAGCACCUAGGCUCCCCAUCUGUUGAGGUUUUUCAUUAAGGAGGGUGAAGAGGAUGUGUGUGUGGGUGUAUGUUUGAAUAACAAAGGAGAAACCCAACAUUCUAAAAAAGUGUUUCUCUACUUGACCUGGGGGAGCCAGAAGCCUGUUUACACUAUGGAUAUUCAAGGACAACCCAGGCCUGUUUUGACUUUAUCCUGAGGAUUAGUUGAAAUUGUCUCCUGAAGUCAAGAAUGGGUUAAUCCCAGUUACAGAAUCCAGGAAGGUCCUCUUCAUCUGGCAACUCUUGGCAUUACUCUGGUCCUUCUUUCAGAAACUGUAGGAAAAGAACAGGAUGAACAGCAGUUCAUAUUAAGUAAAUAAAAAGAGAAACAGAAGGCUCCAGUUCCCACAGGCCUAUAUAGCCUGAUUACUUCAGGGCACUUGCAACUUUCUAGAGAGGGGAUGUAGCUAUGGCUUGGGUGAGUGGGCCUAUCCCUUGACACUUCAAGCACAGGGAAGUGAGACUGAGUGGCCAGCUACACCCAUAGCACCUCUGAGGACUGGCUCUCUUAGAGCUCUCUUGUAGAAGGUCUGGAUGGAGAGAAAAAAGAUAGGGUAGAUGAAUCCUGUGCAUUUACUGCAUUGGUUAUGCUGGUGGUAGAGAAGAUCAUCACAGAGGAUGAAAUCUUAGUUAUCACUGCUCCCUUGUCUCCUACUCCAGCUACAAAGCCCUUUAUUUUGGGUGCCCAGAGUUGACCAAAUGGAUUUAUACGCCUGGCCCAAAACCCAUUCCUAAACAUUUCACUCAGGUCUCAUACUCACCUUGGCAAAUUGGGAAAGUACAAAGAUAAUUCAGAGAUCCAUUUUCAGGCCAGACCCAGCGUUCUGAAGCACUGUAAACAAAAGGUUUCCACACACGAAGAACCAAGGUUAAUGGAUGUCCAGUCAUUUGCAGUAGCAGAAGCAGGUGAAGGGUUCCCAGAAGAUCAGCAUGGUGGGAGAUAUUACAGAAGUCUUCUUGUCCCAGAUCUUGUGGUAAAAUCUCUUCUUCCUGCUCAUCGCUCAGUCAUGACUCUGCUACUCUAUGGACUGUAGCCUCGCAGACUCCUCUGUCCAUGGGAUUUCCCAGGCAAGAAUAUUGGAGUGGGUUGCCAUUUCCUCCUCCAGGGCAACGAUGCCAUCUCCGUCGCCGGCAAAAACACACAAAGGAGGCCCCCACCCAGGCUCGAACCUGGGGGCACACUGGAGAGAGGGCUGGCGUGGACCCCGAGUCGGAGAGCCUCCCACCCCCACGGGGAGCAAUAGCUGCCGCCUCCCCGGGGCAGUGGGGCGGUCGCGCCGCACAAAGGCCGGCUCGGCUAGCGCCAUGUGACGCGCGCUCGACCCGCUCUCCCGGCGGCGCGGCGGACGGGUGCGUGUUCCGACCCACCUGAACACUUUCCGAAAGACAAACGCGGUUCCUCCUACUUCGGAGCAAGUCCGGGCCAGCUGGGAUCCGACCAGAAACCGCAAGCGGAGGAGACGCGGGUACGCAGGCUGAGGGUAACGGAGGGCGCGACCUGCCGCCCCGCGCUCUGCCGCGCCAGGCCCGAGGGUAGCGCCUCCCGGUCCUCCCCGCGCCAGGGACGGCAGCCGCCCAGCAGCCCCGCCCGUGGGCCAGGCAGGGCGCCGGGUGCCCGGAGCGUCCCGGCCCCACCUCCACGCCCCACCUCCGCGCACUUCCCGCUUGCCCCAGUGACACCCUUCACCGCUGCUGUCCCCCCAGUAAGGGACAAACCCGUCUCUGAGGGCAGGACGAGAGAAAACCUCAAUAGGUGGAAAGGUUCUUGCAAAUACUUUUAUUUAAGAGUUUUAUAAAGGAUGUCCCAAAGGAUCAGAAUUCAGGGGAGACGCUGAACGAGUUCUCUCAUUGACCUUCAGGACUAUUUCCUAUUUGUAUGGGAGGAAAGAGGUUAAUAACCCCUGUUGAACUUGGAACUAAACUUGAAUGCAAUUUAAAAUAACCAUUAAAAUACACUUAAAACACUAACCACAAUGAUAUGCCUCUUCUCUUUUUUGUGAUAUGAGGGAAGGCUUGGAGUAGUUGUACUUUAGCUGUUGGGGGUUCAUUUUAGAAACACCGUGAAGGAGCAGACUACAGCUGGGGGCGAGGGGCAGGCUUCAGGCAGAGCUGUUCACAGCAGGAAGGCCUGGGUGAGGGGGUGGGGAAGCACUCUUAUACCCCUCUUGAGUGGCACCCGCUGUCCUUUCGGUCAUAAAUUCUAAGAGAGUUC
ensembl:lncRNA